rnacentral:rRNA from 1 species
AUUGAACGCUGGCGGCAGGCCUAACACAUGCAAGUCGAGCGGAGCGGCAGACGGGUGCGUAAUGCCUAGGUAUCUGCCUGUUAGUGGGGGAUGACGUUCGGUAACGGGCGCUAAUACUGCAUACUAUCACCUUCGCCUGGGUCGGUUUAGCUAGUUGGUGGGGUAAAGGCCUACCAAGGCGACGAUCCGUAACUGGUCUGAGAGGAUGAUCAGCCACACUGGAACUGAGACACGGUCCAGACUCCUACGGGAGGCAGCAGUGGGGAAUAUUGGACAAUGGGCGAAAGCCUGAUCCAGCCAUGCCGCGUGUGUGAAGAAGGUCUUCGGGUUGUAAAGCACUUUAAGUUGGGAGGCGUUACCAACAGAAUAAGCACCGGCUAACUCCGUGCCAGCAGCCGCGGUAAUAC